GAGAGAAGAGCAAGCGCAAUGGAGGUAGAAAAGAGAGACGGCGCGACCAGGAGCGCCGUCCUCGGAACAAGAAAGCUGCCUGCCUGCUUGCCUGCCUGCCGCCUGCCUGCUAGCCAGCCACCCCAAGUUCCCUUCUAGGCGGUGUUUUAAUGGCCGAGUGGCGCUUACCAUCGUCGGUGAUUCGUCAAGCAUGCAUUCGCCUUGUAGACACCCGGUAGACGAGCAACUACCCACCACAUCGCCAGUUUAAUCGACAACGAGAGAGUUAAUUCACGUCUGGUUCGAUGAACUUCUGUCAAUCGAACGCUGUCAUCUGAAUACUCGGAAUGCGAAGUCCUGGUUUUGUGGAAUUUCACGGGCUGAAACUCGCAGAGGACCAGAGCAGUUUAUUGAAUAAAUCAAGGUCAAGCGAAUGAAAGAGCGACGAGGAGGGCCGAGACAUCGGCCGGGAUUCUGUCGUGGCGCAGAAAAAUCAAAUUAAACAGCCGCUUUUAAGUCGAAUUAAAACGAAUGCGCUUAAUUAAAGCGGCCUGUGCCGCUCAACUAAAGGAGUUUUAUUGACGGCGACCGAGUCUCCUUUGUCGGUGCCACCGUGUACCCUUUCAUUAUUACGUUAAAAGAUGCCCGCGACUUUUUGGUUUUGCAGCAAAUAACGCUCUAUUUUUCUCUCCGUUAAAGACAGCCUGGUUUUUUUCCGAUUUUUCAACCCGACUCCUCUGUUUUUCAAUGUUUCCUUUCUUUGUGAUUUCGAAACGCGUUUCAGGAUCCAGCUUCUUCGUAGCCGCGCUUUUUGCUCCUUUCAUUCUUACGGCUACGUGAAUCGGAGAUUUUUUGGAAGCGGCAGCAUGGUGAAAAAGAAACGAGCGUGCGAAAUUAAUUUACUGUCUUUAUUGCUUCUCUUUGUUAAUUGGAUUAGAGUGAAAAAAACGAUAGCCCUUUAAUAUAUCUGCUGGCGUUCGCGUAUACGUUAGGUCUGUGUAGUUUUAUGGAAAUUCAUAUUUUCAUAGACUCAAUGAAAAAUCCGCAAUCUAAUGGUAGGUAGGAUGUUAUUUCAAUGUUAUAUAAGUAGCUACUGUAUCUUCGUUAUUUUCUAUAUUUUCACUUGUGUGCAUUUUCCAAUUUUUUAUCUCCUGUAAACGCGUAAAACUCAGCCAUAUGCAGCAAUUAUUGAAGGUGAAGAAGAAAUGUUUGUACUAUCGUAAUGCAUAAAAAUCCGUGAAGCAAAUGUUUAAAUAAAGCAGCUAAUACAGUUUGUGCAUUCUAGUUUUCCAUAUAGUGGAGCGCAGUUUCUGAACGAUUUAUUUUAAAUUCUACCUUAUUUUAUUACACUACCAAAAGGUUAGAUGGUAAAAUAAAUCGUUUCAUCGUGGCUGUAACGAUGCUCGUGGCCCAUGGUUUAUCGGUCAGAAAAAUGUGCAGACCCGUGACAAAAGGAGUCAUAACGGAACCGCGUUCGCAAGCCAAAGACGAGCACGUUAACGGUGUCUGAGGUUUCACCGCGCUAAAUACACACUUUUUCCCUCUCACUCGUCGCGUUAACGUCGAACCAACCGCGGACGACGACUCUUUUUCUUUUCUCUUACUCGACGAUGCUGUCCGCCGUGAAAAGAAGCAGCUACUCCAACGUAGGGAUAAAGACGAGAAAGCAAAGAAAAAGCCACGGUUCUCGUUGCAGAGAAAAUCGGAAGAGGAUCGACGUGGAAGAUGAAUAGAAGGCGAGAAGCGGAGGUUCUCCCUUGAAACAGGGGGACAAUCUUCCCCUGUUCAUUGUGAGAAUUUCUAAUUGUUCGCCAAUGUUCCGGAUAUGGUAAGGGAAUUUUUCUCUGGGAAAAUGGUACGUGGGAUUAUCUCUUACCAUAUAGCGUAUGGAUUAUCGAGAAAUUAUAAUUUUUUCAAGAAAUUUAACAGUUGAAAAGCAGUGCGUAAGUGUCUGGUGUUUUUAUUGUAGUUGGCAAAUAAAUAAUGGCGGAUUUUGUCAUUAGUUGGUAUUCACAAAAUCCGCAAUCACUUAGUUGCCAAUAGAAAUGAAAUUAUGUAAAUCAUUGGCGAUAUCAUGUAAUGUUAUAGGUUUGAUAAUAUUAGCAUCAGUAUUAGUAAUAUUAAUAGCUGUAAAUAAUAGGAUGAUGUAUUUUAAUGAUAGGAUGAUGUUUUUAUUGUAGUUGGCAAUUAAAUGAUUGCGGAUUUUGUCAUUAAUUGGUAUUGACAAAAUCCGCAAUCACUUAGUUGCCAAUAGAAAUGAAAUUAUGUAAAUCAUUGGCGAUAUCAUGUAAUGUUAUAGGUUUGAUAAUAUUAGCAUCAGUAUUAGUAAUAUUAAUAGCUGUAAAUAAUAGGAUGAUGUAUUUUAACAGUAUAAUUAAUAUUAAAAGUAGGGUAAGGGCAUUUUUCUUUCGGCAGGAUGGAUGCGACUAAUUAAGAAAUUUAACAGUUGAAAAGCAAUGCGUAGGUGUCUGGUGUUUUUAUUGUAGUUGGCAACUAAGUGAUUGCGGAUUUUGUCAUUAGUUGGUAUUGACAAAAUCCGCAAUCACUUAGUUGCCAAUAGAAAUGAAAUUAUGUAAAUCAUUGGCGAUAUCAUGUAAUGUUAUAGGUUUGAUAAUAUUAGCAUCAGUAUUAGUAAUAUUAAUAGCUGUAAAUAAUAGGAUGAUGUAUUUUAACAGUAUAAUUAAUAUUAAAAGUAGGGUAAGGGCAUUUUUCUUUCGGCAGGAUGGAUGCGACUAAUUAAGAAAUUUAACAGUUGAAGAACAAUGCGUAAGUGUCUGGUGUUUUUAUUGUGGUUGGCCAAUAGAAAUGAAAUUAUGUAAAUCAUUGGCUGUAUCAUGUAAUGUUAUAGGUUUGAUAAUAUUAGCAUCAGUAUUAGUAAUAUUAAUAGCUGUAAAUAAUAGGAUGAUGUAUUUUAACAGUAUAAUUAAUAUUAAAAGUAGGGUAAGAGGAUUUUUCUUUCGAUAUGGAAGAUGUGACUUUCUGUUAGAAAAUUGUGUACGUAUUGUGAAAAAAUUACAAGUUCUCUAGGAAAUUAGGCGAUUUAAUCGUAACGUACAAAUCAUGCUUUUAGAAAUGAAAUUAUGUAAUUAUUAUUAAUUGUGUAAUUAUUACAGGUAAUCGUGUAAUUAUUAGUAAUUAUUAGUAAUUAUAUAAUUACACAGGUAAUUACGUAAUUAGUAGCGUCGUAUCAUCAUGAUAUUUCAAUGAUGUACUAUUAAAACGAUGCCUGUAAGUUAAAGAAGAACUAAAUAUUAGGAAAAACAUAAGAAG